rnacentral:tRNA from 1 species
UCUAAGGUGGCAGAUCAGUGCACUGGAUUUAAGCCUCAGUAAGGUAAUUAUUUAUUACCCUUAGAA